GACGGGGGGGGCUAGUGUUAUUCGGGAUGACUAGGCGUAAAGGGCACGUAGGCGGUGAAUCCGGUUGAAAGUGAAAGUCGCCAGCUCAACUGGCGGAAUGCUUUCAAAACCAAUUCACUUGAGUAAGAUAGAGGAUAGUGGAAUUUCGUGUGUAGAGAUAAAAUUCACAGAUAUACGAAGGAACACCAAAAGCGAAGGCAGCUUUCUGGGUCUCUACUGACGCUCAGGUGCGAAAGCAUAGGGAGCAAACAGG
rnacentral:rRNA from 1 species